rnacentral:lncRNA from 1 species
CAGAUGGCAAAUUAUAGUAGUUUACAUCCAUGGGGGGAGGGGGGGGGGGGUACAGUAUCUUUGUAUUGUCAUUUGGCCAUGGAUAUGCAUAUGUUUUGUCCACAAUUUGUUUCUCUGAUGAUUAAAUCGAUUAUACUAUUCCACUAAAGGUCCCUUAUUGGCACCCAGACCACUUCAUCUCAAUGAAGUGACCUGGGUGCAAAGGUCCAGUACAUUUAGCCUCACAAUGUAAAAACAUUGCUGUUGUAUAGAUAUGGCAUUGUUUUAAUUACAGGUUUAACACACUCCUGCGGCUGGACACAACGUGCAAACAUACAAACAAUCUCUUGAGAGAGUAAAUAGAAGUUUAAUUGGACACAAUGUUUUGUGAAUUUGAUAAUAUUUUGAAUGGCGCUGCAUUAGUGAGUUACUUGGCUCUCAAACACCUUGUAAAGUUUGGAAUAUGAUCAUGAGAAUGUCUUCUGUCAAGUGCUGAAUAUCACGUUCACAUAAUUACAUUUUCCAGUGUUUAUUUGUGACUCUAUUAUUAGUAAAUAACAACAGAACCAGAUAAAUACAUAAUAGGGCAAUACCAGUUACCUCCUCCCCAAAAUUUUUUCCUUGCAACACAUAUGAUAUUUACCCACAGCCAGUUGCAUUCAUUUUUUUUCUCACCUUUCCUUCCUUAUGUUCAUUUUGUUUAAUUGUACCUUGCAAUUACUUUUUUAAUAUCAAUACAUGACCGUCAGAAACCAACAUCCGCUUAGAACAUCACCCAAUAUAUAUAUUAAUAGAAUAUUAACACAGGUAUAUGAUGACCUGGUUUAUUAUCAUAAAACAUUAAAUAAGAUUAUUUGUUAAAAGUUAUUAAAUCCCGCUAGGAACAUUCAUUGUCUCACACAUACAGUGGUAAGAGAAAGUUUGUGACCCUUCAGAUUUAGGUCUGGUCCUACAUCCAUUUGAACUACAACUUGAGUCUGAGUAAUAGAGAAAAUUAAUCCGAUUACAUAAACGGGAAAAAAAUCAUAAUUUUUUUAUGUCUUUAUUGAACAUGUUGAUCACAGUCUGUGUUGGAAAAGUAUAUGAUCUUUUAUUAAGGGUUAACUUGAGUUAGAUUUUCAAAGCAGCAUGAUGAAAAUUGGGUGUCAAUUUGAGGGGCCUUACCCAAUGACACACACCAUGACUUGCAUAUUACAUUGUUAGCCAAUCAGUUAGUCAUUGCUAAAGACUUUGGCAGGUAGGUAGUAUAUAAAUAUGAAGGAAAUGCAACACAACGGUUACCUUCCAGUAGUGGUAAUUAAACUAGAUUCACACCAAGAUCAAGGGAUGCUAUGCAGGAGGUAUAAUGUAAUUGCUCAAGAGUCCACUGUAAGGUACACAAUGAACACUGGUUAUGUGUACAGUAAUGAACAGGGCUUGACUGGAAGAAAAAAGUAAUAUGAUGUCAUAUGACCUUGAAUACGAUAUCAGGAAUUUCUCUUAUGUCAUUAUGAUGUCAUCAUAAGGAGAUAGCAGGGGAAAAGAAAAGCUUAUAUGUUUUAGUAACCACUUAAAGCGGCUGUCACCAAAAAUAAUGUUCAUCUAAUCUGCUUCUAUAGAGCUCCAUGUGUCUGAUUCUUUUUUUUUUGCUCUAGUUUUCGUAAAAUACAUAAAGAAAAGUAGAGUAAAUGUUUCCUUAUGUACAGCAGACUAGUUGACAAAAUGUGACAAUGGGCGGAGCUUAAAGCAAGGUCCUGUUUCAGUUGCCAAUCAAAUCUACCCACAAUCCAUCAGUAAAAUAAAUCCCGUAGAAAGGCCAGUUGCAGAUAUCAUCUCCAACCUAGCUCGUCGCAGGGCAGAUUUUUUAACCUCAAUUUUACCAUUCAGGUUUUAAUUCACUACAAUUUGGAGUUUAGUGAAUAAACUUGUAUAUUGUGUGUACAACGGUUCAUAUACUUUUCUCCAACAGCAAAUUUGUGAUCAAUGUGUUUAAUAAAACCUUUGAAAAAUAUAGUAUUCGUGUGUUUUCUAUUUGUUUAUCUAGAUAUUCUUUCUCUAUUAAUAUCACUUAGAUCAAUGGUUCCCAAAGCAGACCACUCACACCAGUGGUCCAUAUUUUGUCAGCAUCUCCAUUGGAAACAAAUUGAGAAAUAUCUAAACCCUGGACUGUUCCAGCACAGGACUGGCCAUAGGGCAUACCAUGAAGGUACUCACACAGCAGGCACCUACUCUGUCCAAAUGUACAGUGCCCAGGAGGCAGCCAGAAGAGAGCUGUGUACUCAUUGUGCUCUGGCUCCCUCACACUCCCUGUAGUGAUACUGGGAGCCAGGAUGUGACAUCACUCUGGCCCCAGAAUUACUACAGGGUACACAAGGGAACUGUGCAGCCAGAGCACUGUUAUCCCAGCAGCUCCCACUGGUAACCCAAACAAAAACACAAUAAAUAAAAAUGAUUUGUGAGUGUCUACAUGUGUAUGUAAAAGAAUGUGUAUGUGUGUGUGAGACACUGUGCAUGUGUAUUUGUUUUUGUUUUUUGGGGGGGCAGGGGAGGCUCCAAAAUUCUGGAGGCAGGCACAUAAAAAGUAAAUCUACCCUGUUUGGGGGCCCUGAGUGCAGGGCCGGACUGGAGAUACAAAGCAGCCCUGGAAAAAAAAAAUUGUGCCAGCUCCAUAAGUCACUGCGCCAUAUAUUGUCGCGUGUAAUAUAUAAGGCUAUGUCUUGCCAUGACAGAUGAUUGAGUAAUAUAUAUAUAUAUAUAUACACACACACAGCUUAAUGUAGUGGUACUGGUGUCUAUAGCAUGUCCCUACAGGCUUUUCAACGUAAACACUGACUUUUCAGAGAAAAGGCAGUGUUUACAUUGCUUCAAAGUGACACUGCUAGUGACAAUCACUCAGACGGUCACUAGAGGUGCUUCCUGUGUUAGUGCACCUACAUUCAGGGCCUCCACACUCUGUACGUGCUGAACGUUCCCCAUAGAGAUACAUUGAUUCAAUGCAUCUCUAUGAGGAGAUGCUGAUUGGAGUGGUGUUUUGCAGCCAAUCCUAUGGCAAAGCAUUGGAUUGGCUGAGAUCAUCAAGCUUGAUGAUCUCAGCUAUAGAGGCAGGGCCAGUCGAGGGGAGACCAGCACGCUGCGUGGGGAAAAAAAGGUGAGCAAAAACACUAUUUUUAAACACACAUAUACACCAUGACAGACACAGAAACACACAUAUACCAUGACAGAUACACACCCCAUGACAGAUACACACCCCAUGACAGACACACACACCAUGACACAGACAGGCACACAUACCAUGACACAGACAGGCACACACACCAUGACACAGACAGGCACACACCCCAUGACACAGACAGACACACACCCCAUGACGGACAGACACACACACACCCCAUGACGGACAGAGAGACACACACCCCCAUGACAGACAGACAGACACACACCCCAUGACAGACAGACACACACCCUAUGACAGACAGACACACACCCCAUGACGGACAGACACACACCCCAUGAUGGACAGACACACACAUACACCAUGACACAGACAGACACACACACACCAUACAGACAGACACCAUGACACACACACACCAUACAGACACCAUGACACAGACAGACAGACACACACCAUACAGACAGACCAUACAGACAGACACCAUGACACAGACAGACAGACACACACACCAUAACAGACAGACAAAUUCACACUGACACAUUACUAAUACCUGCCAGGGGGAGGUCUUCUGGAGGCCGCUGGGGAGGUCUUCUGGCAGCCGCUGGGGGAC